rnacentral:rRNA from 1 species
AUUGAACGCUGGCGGCAGGCCUAACACAUGCAAGUCGAGCGGGGUGAUGGUGCUUGCACUAUCACUUAGCGGCGGACGGGUGAGUAAUGCUUAGGAAUCUGCCUAUUAGUGGGGGACAACAUCCCGAAAGGGAUGCUAAUACCGCAUACGUCCUACGGGAGAAAGCAGAGGAGCACUUGUGACCUUGCGCUAAUAGAUGAGCCUAAGUCGGAUUAGCUAGUUGGUGGGGUAAAGGCCUACCAAGGGGACGAUCUGUAGCGGGUCUGAGAGGAUGAUCCGCCACACUGGGACUGAGACACGGCCCAGACUCCUACGGGAGGCAGCAGUGGGGAAUAUUGGACAAUGGGGGGAACCCUGAUCCAGCCAUGCCGCGUGUGUGAAGAAGGCCUUAUGGUUGUAAAGCACUUUAAGCGAGGAGGAGGCUCUUUUGGUUAAUACCCAAGAUGAGUGGACGUUACUCGCAGAAUAAGCACCGGCUAACUCUGUGCCAGCAGCCGCAGUAA